UUUUUUUUUUUUUUUUUUUCCCUCAAUUGCCUUGCCCCCCACAUGACCCAUUGAAUUGUCGGGCUACGCUGAUCCAGAUCCUAUUAAUUCUGCAACAUAUUGCUAGAAUGGUUCUAGACCUGCAGGCCAAAUGUCUCCAAGAGGCAAUAAAUGCUUGGGAAACUUUUCUUUUCAGAAAAAAAAAAAAAAAAACUUUUUUAUGCUUCCUUCAUAUUUGUUUUCAAUAUUUUUUCCCACCAUUUCCAAGCUUUUUUUGCCAUUGUUGUUGUUGUUGAUAAUCUUGACUGUUGAUUAGUUUUUAGGAAAGCUUAUUGAAUAUCUACUAGUGGAUGUGUUUGUGGUGGUUUGCCGGAUUGAAGUUUUCAUUUAUCAAUUGGAAUGGGUUUAAUUGGAAUGCCAGGUGAUGUUUGGGAAAUUGCGCAAGGGCUUUGAGCCCUGCAGUGUAUCUACUGUAAGGGACUGUGAAAUAAUCGAAACUGAUAUGUCCCUCCUGAUGGCAUUCUGUAAUUUUACACUGUUAUUCAUUAGAUGUAAGUUUAUCUUGUGUAUGCAAUUGUUGAAAGUUCUCUGGAGUAAUGUGCAUAAAUGCAUAAUCAAUUGACAAAAUUGACUGCUGUUGCUUAAUGCUCAUCUUUUAGUGCUCCUGAAUUCCUCUCCUGUUUUGUUAAAUAUUAUUGGGCAUGAAAUGGUGAUUGUUGUUGGGGCUGCUAGUUGAUGAUGGUGAUAUGCACAAGGGCUUUGAGUUCCAUGUAAUGGAAAAUAUAAAUUAGUUAUGUACUACCAUCCCUUCUGUUCUGACGGUACUGGGAACAUGUAAAGAAGCAAAUAAGGCCGACUGCUAUUACUAUGCAUAUAUUGUGCUUGUUUGGCAUCUCUUCUGAAGUUCUGAGAAUGAACAAUUUUCCAAAAGCAUCUGUUUUGGAUUUUAUUUUUAUUUUUUUUUUGCCAAAGAAGAUCAAAUCUACCAAAAGAACAAAUUUGUAAUUUCCUUUAACAAUAUAUUCAAUAUGAUGCUUUUCUUAAUAUAUCUAAUACAACAAUGGCAAACAGAUGACUGAACCAUUUAACAAAUUCUUCUAUAAGGCCAUGUGUCACAUUGGGAUUUUUUUGUAACAUUUCUUCUAUUCUCAAAAUUGCUUUUGUAACAUUUCUGACAUCUUACCAUUUAUAGUGUACAUCUUUUAUGCAACUUGUAGCAUUAGAAUUGCCAAGAAUUGAAGUUUCAUCGACUUUAAACCUUUGGUUUCACAAAAUUUGAUUUUGGAUCCAAAAAUUUUUGUUGCUAACUAAACAUGUUCGCCCAUCUCUAGGGAAGUGAAAAAAAAUCCAAAGGAGUUGUUCAGCAUCCUUCAUUUUCUUUUCUAAAUUGUAGUUAAUUCCUCUAUCUUAACCGUGAUCAAUCUUGGCCCGGAGUGGUUUGUCACCAAGAUCUAAUUUUGUUUCCAGGCUCACAUGUAAUGAACCAUGAGCAAUCGAACAUAAUUCGCCGACAUAGAAUUUAGCCUUUUGGAUGUGGGCCAAUCUAAGCAGCAGGUCAGGCAAUGCAAAUCCUAGCUUAAGCCCUUUCUGUUGGCACAAUUUCAACAGGUCAGAGCAGCAGAGCUUAUAUGCCACCCAUCCUGACUUUUCUCUGUUGUUUAGAUUGUUUGUUUGCCAUCCAAAAUCGUAAGCUCAUUGUUUUCUGUCUUUUAGAUCAUUUUGUUCAUUUCCAGAUGAUUUAAUUCUUGUCAACUAUUGUUUCCUUGUUCAUUCAUUCUGAAAAUUUCGUUAUAUUUGUGCAAGACAAGGGAAAUGUUUCUUGGACGCUUACCCCUUUUCUUAUUUGAACACUGGCUGAAUUCAUGUCAUAAUAUUUGCCUUUUUCCUUAUCACCCAAUUUUUAAAUUUACAAUAUUUUAGCUUAUUAAUUAGAAUAUAUGCAUAUGCGAAAGAAACAAAUAUAUUAUGAAUCGAAAUUAAAAACUCCACUUUAGUUUGAAGAAGGAGGUGGAAGUUUUAUUCCUGGAAUCCAAUUUCCUAGAAAUCAUCUUUAUAUGAAAGGGCAAAUAGACAGAAAUUUGACAAGAAGAGCUGCAAAUAGACAGAAAUUUGAUAAGAAGAGCUUUACUUCUCCGAAGUUACAAAAGAUGAAUGAUUCUCACGCGAGGGCUUGCCAAGUUGCCAUAAGAUAUGUAUGUGUGCCAUCAGACCAGCACUUCCUAUAUACAUGAAUAUCAAUUACUUCCAAGGACAAAAAUUUAAAUAGAUGAGAAAGAAGUUCACAUCAUAGCUAAUAUAAGCCAUAAUAAAUUUUGCAUUGCUUAUCUCAUGCAUGAGAUCCCUGUUAGUACAAAAUCACAUUGACAUGCUACUCCUCUUCCUACUCUAUAACUCUCCAAAACUUAAAUCAUAAAAGGAGUUUGUUUCUUACCCAGAAGAUAAAAAGUACAAUAAGUGCCACCUCCAAAAAGAUACCAUCAUAUGCACCUUUACUAGAAGAACUAACAUGCGUGCCCUUUUUUUCACAUUUGGACAAUACAACUUUGUCAAGUGGAGUGAACUGUGAAGAAGAUAUUGGAAUCUUAGUCUCUUUUUAUAACUUUUGAUUUGGGUUCAUGCCCUAGGGCCUAAGGGACAUCUUUCCAUCUGUCUUUAAGUCUUCUUUUCAAGAGUAAAUUAAAGAAAUUUAAAAAAAUAAAAAAUCAAAGAGAAGAAGGUUAAUAUCAUGAAUAAAAAAGUGAAGCAAAAGUGGCCCAAAAGUAAAUCCCUUGAUGAGAAGGCUGAGGAAUAGCGUUGCAAUUUAUUUACCAUUUCCUUCAGAAACCCUUCUUAUGAAAGCAAGGAAAAUAAUGAUUAAAGCGACUCCAGCAAAUAAUCCGAUGAUAAUUGCAAAUGUCUUCUCGCCCUCGUCCAUAGAUUUAUCAUUAUGAGUAUUGGUAUAAACAUGAGCAACGCCGGUGGAGUACCUAGCAUAGCACUUAGUCAAGAACAUAUCGCCAUAAACCGCGGUGCUGCAAUCGGUUUUCAACCGGCUGAUUGCCUCCGACAGGCAAUCCUGACACUCUCCUAAGCUCAAAUCUCCAAUACAUUGGGCAAAACCCUGGACCUCGCCCGACCCACCAACUCGAUACAGCCCUCCAGGCCGAGCAAGGUCCGCCAUCACGGCAUCCCUAACACUCAUAGUAUUUGUAUCAUACCCAGUGGAGGGCCCGCAUUUCUUGAAGACCACUGUCUUAUCCUCCACUCCUAGAAACGUAGCAUUAUCGUACUUUACAUAACAAUCUUGAAGUUGCACUGCUCCACCGCAUGUCUGAGAACACAAAGAACCAAUUUGACUCACUGCUUGUGCUACGCAGUUAGCGCAAUCCGGCAUGGAAAGGUCGCCGCGACACUGGAAAAGGCCGUAGACGACGUCUUGUGGGAUGGAGCCCAUGAUGGUGUAGUUGUUGUACGAGGAGUAGGUGGCUGAGUUAACAAGAGAAGUGAGAAGAGAGUUGAUGUUGGAUUCGUAAGGUGAGUCUGGUGCGUAUUUCUGCUGAGUGCAGCCGCCGAAGACGAAGGAAUUGGCGGAGGAAGGAGAAGCAAUGGGAAGAAAUGAGUUAAAGAAAAGGGAAAUGAAGAUGAGAAAAUCAGAAGUUGUUCUUGCCAUUUCUCGACAACUUUGUGGACAGAAACAGAUAGGGUUUAACAAGGGAU
rnacentral:misc_RNA from 1 species